CACGUAGGGCGCAAGCGUUGUCCGGAAUUAUUGGGCGUAAAGAGCUCGUAGGCGGCUCGUUGCGUCAACCGUGAAAACCCGGGGCUUAACUUCGGGCUUGCGGUUGAUACGGGCGGGCUGGAGUUCGGUAGGGGAGACUGGAAUUCCUGGUGUAGCGGUGAAAUGCGCAGAUAUCAGGAGGAACACCGGUGGCGAAGGCGGGUCUCUGGGCCGAUACUGACGCUGAGGAGCGAAAGCGUGGGGAGCGAACAGG
rnacentral:rRNA from 1 species